UCCAUCUCCAAAUCCAUGCCCAUUUUCCUUCUCCACUCUCUCGUCGAUCUAGUUCUUCCACCAGCGAAUGCGUCCCUCUUCCCUCUCUCGGCGCCAAGGCCAUGUCACGCCCGCUCUGGCGCCCUCAACAUGUUCGACGGAUUGCCUCGCCGCCUCACCGCUCCUCCUCCUUGGCUCUGCGGCGCCGCGCGCGGGGACAAGGACCGGGCUCGUGGCACAAUGACAGCAAGCGGGCAUUGCUCGAACCGAAUACCAAGGUGGCGGGCGGAGCUCAACUAGCUGGCGCGUGGGACGGCGGGAGUCCCCAGCGUUCGUCCUACCUGUGCCAGGUGGUCAGCAAGCAACAUUGAUGGUCGACAACUCUAGUAGUGGUGCUUAGUGGAAUUUGCCACCAAAUGAAGAAGAGUACAUUUUUUUCACAAAGUGCCUUAUGACAUCGAGUUUUCUGGAACUAGUCUGUGGAACCAACUCGAGUGGGGUGGUGCUUUUGAUGUUCCUAUGUGUGAUGCAAUAAUGAGGUUCUACAAAUCACUUGAUGAUCAAGUGUAUGAGCCAGGACAUAACCGCUGGAGACAUUUCCUUCCAGCAACUUUUGCUGAGAGAGUGCUAAAUGGAGAUUACUACCUUGGUGACAACCGGAUCCAUUCUUCGUUUCUUGGCAACCAUACAACAUUGAAGAUUGUGUCAUGGAACUACUCAGGGUUGUUUGCCACACACACACUAUGCUCGUGCUUUUGAUGGCUUUCAGCUAUUAUGGGAACUAAAGACGGUUACCAACAAACUAAACAACAGUGAUUCUUUACUUUACUUUCUUUUUUGUGGGACACAUUAUCAACAUCUUUUUCUUGCUUCUGCAGGCUGAACAUGGACUAAACAUGAAGAGUUACUUUACCAACUUCUAAGUAAAGAAUGGCAGGGAAUUACGGAGACAUACCAGAAUUGUUGAUCGACCUGUAAAUUUGAGGAUGAUGCUUUUGUGUUGUGACCUCUAAACAACAGACCAUACACAAUCUCUAUUUGGUUGUUUGUUUUGGGUGGAAUACAAGUGACAUUGUUUAGGUUUGUUGUUGUGAGCACCAUUCAAGUUAGGUUUGGUUUGGUCUGUUUUAUUGAACAUCAUCUAUGUUUGAUCAAAUCUGUUUGAAUCAUUGACCUGUUGAUACCAUUUGAGCGUC